UACGGGGGGGGCAAGCGUUGUUCGGAAUUACUGGGCGUAAAGGGCUCGUAGGCGGCCAACUAAGUCGGAUGUGAAAUCCCCAGGCUUAACCUGGGAACUGCAUCCGAUACUGAAUGGCUUGAAUCCGGGAGAGGGAUGCAGAAUUCCAGGUGUAGCGGUGAAAUGCGUAGAUAUCUGGAGGAAUACCGGUGGCGAAGGCGGCAUCCUGGACCGGCAUUGACGCUGAUGAGCGAAAGCUAGGGGAGCAAACGGG
rnacentral:rRNA from 1 species